AUUGAACGCUGGCGGCAGGCCUAACACAUGCCAGUCGAACGAGUGGCGGACGGGUGAGUAAUGUCUGGGAACCUGCCUGCUGGAGGGGGAUAACUACUGGAAACGGUAGCUAAUACCGCAUACCCUCAGAUGUGCCCAGAUGGGAUUAGCUUGUUGGUGGGGUAAUGGCUCACAAAGGCGACGCUCCCUAGCUGGUCUGAGAGGAGGACCAGCCACACUGGAACUGAGACACGGUCCAGACUCCUACGGGAGGCAGCAGUGGGCAAUAUUGGACAAUGGGCGAAAGCCUGAUGCAGCCAUGCCGCGUGUGUGAAGAAGGUCUUCGGAUUGGAAAGCACUUUAAGCUGGGAGGCGUUACCAGCAGAAUAAGCACCGGCUAACUUCGUGCCAGCAGCCGCGGUAAUUC
rnacentral:rRNA from 1 species